rnacentral:rRNA from 1 species
UACGGGGGGGGCAAGCGUUGUUCGGAAUUACUGGGCGUAAAGGGCUCGUAGGUGGCCAACUAAGUCAGACGUGAAAUCCCUCGGCUUAACCGGGGAACUGCGUCUGAUACUGGAUGGCUUGAGUUUGGGAGAGGGAUGCGGAAUUCCAGGUGUAGCGGUGAAAUGCGUAGAGAUGUGGAGGAACACCGAUGGCGAAGGCAGCCCCCUGGGCUAACACUGACGCUCAGGCACGAAAGCGUGGGGAGCAAACAGG